UACGAAGGGGGCUAGCGUUGUUCGGAAUUACUGGGCGUAAAGCGCACGUAGGCGGAUACUUAAGUUAGGGGUGAAAUCCCGGGGCUCAACCCCGGAACUGCCUUUAAUACUGGGUAUCUCGAGUUCGAGAGAGGUGAGUGGAAUUCCGAGUGUAGAGGUGAAAUUCGUAGAUAUUCGCAAGAACACCAGUGGCGAAGGCGGCUCACUGGCCCGGUACUGACACUGAGGUGCGAAAGCGUGGGGAGCAAACAGG
rnacentral:rRNA from 1 species